UGAUUUAUUUAUGAAAAUGUAUGUGAUAAACAAUUUCUAAGAGAAACUGGAGCGCGCACUCUGAAAUCUCCAUUGAAGCAGCUCUUGAGUUGCCAGAUUUGCCAAAAAAAUGAUGUAAUUACAGGCUGUAAGACUUUCAUAUUAUGUAUUUUCAUACAAAAUUGAAGGAGAUAAAAUUGUUUCAUUUCCGAGUAGAGUGGAUUCCGGUUGCUGCAGAGUCUCGUCCGAAAUCAAUCUGGCUAUGCUGUUUAUGCUUGGCCUGCCACUGAUGGCUUGCUUUCUAAAAGGGAUAAUAAACAUCAACCAAUGUUGAAAUAGUCAUCAAAUAACCUUUGAUGAUUGUUGGUUAUUGUUUACUUGAAUGGAAGUGUAAAAUGGACAUAAAGAUUUGCAGCAUUGUUGUCUUAUUUUAUGUUAUUUUGUUCCGCCUCUAAUUGAUCACACUGCAAGCUUAUCUCACCAUCAUUAUCCUUUAGAGGUUUGGAAAAGAAGCUAUGAUCUAUAUGCAUAUCUUGGUGGUGUUUUGUGCAUUUUGGAGAAGAAUCGGAUCAAUUGAUGUUGUCAAUGGCUUGAAAUUCCCUAGCAUAUUGCCAUAUUGGAAUGUUCCAAUCAUGAGCACAAAAUGUCUGAUAUGCAUCUUAAGCUUGACCGAAGUACCAUAUAUUGGAGGAUGCGGUGGAAACUUAGAAGAUCUGUGGCAAGUGGUGCUAAAAUAUUAACUACUUAGAGUUUAAGCUGACUAAUAAGACUGUUGAUCUCUGGUGAGGUUGAUUCGAAGCUUGGAAGGCUUAGAUUAGAAUGACAUAGAAGAGGUUUGAAACCAUGGAAAACAAGUAAUACUUCCUCUGUUCACUUUUAAUUGCAACUCUUCUUUCAAGUUAUUGCUGAAUAUAAAAAAAGGUGAAUUAUGAGUAGGUGUCACUUGACGAUGUGUUGAUGACUUGAUGUCUGCUUGAGCUUCCUGCUUUUAGUAUAAAUAAAGUUUAUUUUGGUUUAGAUUGUGGGUUUGUGGUCCUGCCAAUCUUGUGGAGUUGUAGAGAACAGGCUAUUCCAAGAAUAUUUACAUUACAUGUCCAUUGAGGAAGUUAUAAGUAGCCUUCAAAAUUGUAUUAUUAAGUAAUAUCACUUUCGAAAUUGCUGGCCUAUUUGGGUGGCUUA